rnacentral:rRNA from 1 species
GACGAACGCUGGCGGCGUGCUUAACACAUGCAAGUCGAACGGUGACCCAGGGCUUGCCCUGGUGAUCAGUGGCGAACGGUGAGUAACACGUGGGCAACCUGCCCCUGACUUCGGGAUAACUCCUCGAAAGAGGAGCUAAUACCGGAUACGACCACUUCGGACAUCCGAUGGUGGUGGAAAGUUUUUCGGUCAGGGAUGGGCCCGCGGCCUAUCAGCUAGUUGGUGGGGUAAUGGCCUACCAAGGCGACGACGGGUAGCCGGCCUGAGAGGGCGACCGGCCACACUGGGACUGAGACACGGCCCAGACUCCUACGGGAGGCAGCAGUGGGGAAUAUUGCGCAAUGGGCGAAAGCCUGACGCAGCGACGCCGCGUGAGGGAU